rnacentral:rRNA from 1 species
UACGAAGGGUGCAAGCGUUGUUCGGAUUUAUUGGGCGUAAAGCGCGCGCAGGCGGAUUGGUAAGUCAUGUGUGAAAUCUCGAGGCUUAACCUCGAAAUUGCGCCUGAAACUGCCGAUCUAGAAUUCUGGAGAGGGAAGGGGAAUUUCUCAUGUAGGGGUAAAAUCCGUAGAUAUGAGAAGGAACACCGGAGGCGAAGGCGCCUUCCUGGACAGAUAUUGACGCUGAGGCGCGAAAGCGUGGGGAGCAAACAGG